UUGGAGGGCAAGUCUGGUGCCAGCAGCCGCGGUAAUUCCAGCUCCAAUAGCGUAUAUUAAAGUUGUUGCAGUUAAAAGCUCGUAGUUGAAUUUCGGGAUUGACACAUCGGUCGUGCCUUAAGGGGUAUGAACUGGUGUAGUCAAUUUCUCACCUUCUGGAGAACCACGAUGCCCUUAAUUGGGUGUCGCGGGGAACCAGGACCUUUACUUUGAAAAAUUAGAGUGUUUAAAGCAGGCAUUUUGCUUGAAUACAUUAGCAUGGAAUAAUAAAAUAGGACGGCAUGAUUCUAUUUUGUUGGUUUCUAGGAUCACCGUAAUGAUUAAUAGGGAUAGUUGGGGGCAUUAGUAUUCAAUUGUCAGAGGUGAAAUUCUUGGAUUUAUUGAAGACUAACUACUGCGAAAGCAUUUGCCAAGGAUGUUUUCAUUAAUCAAGAACGAAAGUUAGGGGAUCGAAGACGAUCAGAUACCGUCGUAGUCUUAACCAUAAACUAUGCCGACUAGGAAUCAGACGAUGUUAAUUUUUAA
rnacentral:rRNA from 1 species